GAAAAUCAAUACUUCAUUUAUUUUUAUCAGUAAAAGCUUCAACACAUCAGCAUAAAGGAAUCUUAGUGUAAUUCAGAAGCUGAUCCCAUGGGUUUAAAACCAACACAUCUGCUCUCUGACAUUUUGACAUGUAAUAUUGCCUACAAGAAGUGCAAAUCUCACUUCAUUGAUUUUGUCACAGGUUGUUAAAAAUAAUGUAUAAGCUAUGAAAUGUGGAUUUUACUGUUCUUUCAGCAUUAAUAAUUCAAAGCCAAUCAUGAUAGUAUUAAUGCAGCUUCUUCUAGGUUAGUCCCCUGGUCUUUUGCCCUUUAAGGAUUAUUGUAUUCACAGAAUUGUUAGGCCCAAUCAAGACUGGAUUAACCAUAGUGCAAUUGACUAGAAUGCUCCAGAGAAAUCAAUGCCUAGGAGCUUGAUGUGGCUACUGACACCAUGUAUAUACACAUGCUACUUUACUACAUAUGUCUGAUAAAGUGCAAUUAUGACAGGGACAAGCACUGUUGGGUGGGACACAUCACAUGAUGUUGUGUCCUGACUGUAUUUGAUUUGAAUUUCUCUUUUCAUUGAUGGGAAAACCUCUUAAAUGAAUUAAAUAUCACUGUUCUUUUGCCACAAUUUCUUGUGUAAUAGUUUCCUUACACAACAGUCCCAAUAAUGCAAAGCAAGUGAAGAUCUCACAAAAACACCAAAAUUGCAUGACUACGGAGUUACAGCAACAUAGAACACAAUAUGGCUGUUCUGAGUAGGAUGUACAUGGAUAGGACAUGAGGCUGUGUGGAAGGGCUAUUGUGGGAAUUUGCAUCACCAAAGCACCAAUAUAGAAAAAUGUCAUCAGGGUGUGAAAGGGAUCAUUUCAAUAACAAUAUGUUUCCAUUUGCUUAAACUAUGUGAUUGCUGCAAGACAAGAACCUGGUGUGAUAAUGUCAAUAGUAUUUUAUCUUCUCUUGGAACAAGUUAUUCAAACCCUGGUGGCUCUCUGAAAUUUUUAUUAAAGUGUGACAACCACCUUUAUUUAUAAUGGCAGUGAAUCUGUGUUAUGUAAUUUUAUACAUACUACUUAGCAACACAGCAGAUGUAGAAAGAAUUCUUCUAACACAGUAGUUCUCAACCUGUAGGUCCCCAGGUGUUUUGGCCUAUAACUCCCAGGAACCCCAGCCAGUUUACCAGCUGUUAGCAUUUCUGGGAGGGGGAGGGAAGGUAAGCAGGCACACUGAGUUGUGACCCAAGUGGCUGCAGCAAGUGGCAAAGUUCCAGGAUCUCGAUCGUGACAUCCCGCUGGGUCACAGGUUGCCUGUGGGCCAUGUCGGUGGGCUGCUUGGCAUUGAAGGGGUGGGUGAUGCAGGCAUAGAUCUGGAGCUAGAGCUGCUCUUCCCUCUCCUCCUUCUACAGCUGUCCCUCCUCCUCCUGGCCAUCACUCUGCACUAAGGGGCUGGGGCUGGCCAGCUGCACUGUGGACAAGGAAGACCAAGGGGCUGGUCAACCAUGCCACUCCCAAUGCCGCCACUGGCACCGCCUCUUCU
rnacentral:lncRNA from 1 species